rnacentral:rRNA from 1 species
GAUGAACGCUGGCGGUAUGCUUAACACAUGCAAGUCGAACGGACUCUUCGGAGUUAGUGGCGGACGGGUGAGUAACGCGUGGGAAUCUGGCUUUGGGUUCGGGACAACCACUGGAAACGGUGGCUAAUACCGGAUGUGCCGAGAGGUAAAAGAGAAAUUGCCCGAAGAUGAGCUCGCGUCUGAUUAGCUAGUUGGUGAGGUAAAGGCUCACCAAGGCAGCGAUCAGUAGCUGGUCUGAGAGGAUGACCAGCCACACUGGGACUGAGACACGGCCCAGACUCCCACGGGGGGCAGGAGGGGGGAAUUUUCCGAAAUGGGGGAAGGCCUGACGGGGCAAUCCCGGGGGAGGAAAGAGGGCUUUUGGGUUGAAAACCUUUUUUUUUAGGGAAAAAAAAAAGGACGGUACCUAAGGAAUCAGCAUCGGCUAACUCCGU